GACGAACGCUGGCGGCGUGCCUAAUACAUGCAAGUCGAACGCAGUGGGGACGGGUGAGUAACACGUGGGUAACCCCCCUUCGAGGGGAUAACACCUUGAAACAGGUGCUAAACCGAAUCCGAUGGAUGGACCCGCGGUGCAUUUGCUAGUUGGGGAGGUAACGGCGCACCAAGGCCACGAGGCAUAGCCGACCUGAGAGGGUGAGCGGCCACACUGGGACUGAGACACGGCCCAGACUCCUACGGGAGGCAGCAGUAGGGAAUCUUCGGCAAUGGACGAAAGUCUGACCGAGCAACGCCGCGUGAGUGAAGAAGGUUUUCGGAUCGUAAAACUCUGUUGUUAGAGAAGCGGUAUCUAACCAGAAAGCCACGGCUAACUACGUGCCAGCAGCCGCGGUAAUAC
rnacentral:rRNA from 1 species